rnacentral:rRNA from 1 species
AACCAGCUCUUCAAGUGGUCGGGAUAAUUAUUGGGCUUAAAGUGUCCGUAGCCGGUAUAGUAAGUUCCUGGUAAAAUCAGGUAGCUUAACUAUCUGUAUGCUAGGAAUACUGCUCUACUAGAGGGCGGGAAAAGUCUGAGGUACUACGGGGGUAGGGGUGAAAUCUUAUAAUCCUUGUAGGACCACCAGUGGCGAAGGCGUCAGACUGGAACGCGCCUGACGGUGAGGGACGAAAGCCAGGGUAGCGAACCGGAUUAGAUACCCGGGUAGUCCUGGCCGUAAACGAUGCACACUAGGUGAUGGUGCGGUCAUGAGCCGUAUCAGUGCCGUAGGGAAACCGUUAAGUGUGCCGCCUGGGAAGUACGGUCGCAAGGCUAAAACUUAAAGGAAUUGGCGGGGGAGCACCACAAGGGGUGAAGCCUGCGGUUC